rnacentral:rRNA from 1 species
AAAUUGAAGAGUUUGAUCAUGGCUCAGAUUGAACGCUGGCGGCAGGCCUAACACAUGCAAGUCGAACGGUAACAGGAAGCAGCUUGCUGCUUCGCUGACGAGUGACGGACGGGUGAGUAAUGUCUGGGAAACUGCCUGAUGGAGGGGGAUAACUACUGGAAACGGUGGCUAAUACCGCAUAACGUCGCAAGACCAAAGAGGGGGACCUUCGGGCCUCUUGCCAUCAGAUGUGCCCAGAUGGGAUUAGCUUGUU